UAGAGUUUGAUCCUGGCUCAGGAUGAACGCUAGCGGCAGGCUUAACACAUGCAAGUCGAGGGGUAACAGAGAAAAGCUUGCUUUUUUGCUGACGACCGGCGCACGGGUGCGUAACGCGUAUGCAAUCUACCUUUUGCUAAGGGAUAGCCCAGAGAAAUUUGGAUUAAUAUCUUAUAGUAUGAUGACUUGGCAUCAAGAUAUCAUUAAAGGUUACGGCAAAAGAUGAGCAUGCGUUCUAUUAGCUAGUUGGUGUGGUAACGGCAUACCAAGGCAACGAUAGAUAGGGGUCCUGAGAGGGAGAUCCCCCACACUGGUACUGAGACACGGACCAGACUCCUACGGGAGGCAGCAGUGAGGAAUAUUGGACAAUGGAGGCAACUCUGAUCCAGCCAUGCCGCGUGCAGGAAGACUGCCCUAUGGGUUGUAAACUGCUUUUAUACAGGAAGAAACACCUCUACGUGUAGAGAUUGACGUAC
rnacentral:rRNA from 1 species